AGAUUGAACGCUGGCGGCAUGCUUUACACAUGCAAGUCGAGCGGCAGCGCGGGGGCAACCCUGGCGGCGAGCGGCGGACGGGUGAGUAAGGCAUCGGAAUCUGCCCUGAUGUGGGGGAUAACGUAGGGAAACUUACGCUAAUACCGCAUACGACCGAGAGGUGAAAGCGGGGGACCGAAAGGCCUCGCGCUGAAGGAGCGGCCGAUGUCCGAUUAGCUAGUUGGUGAGGUAAAGGCUUACCAAGGCGACGAUCGGUAGCUGGUCUGAGAGGAUGAUCAGCCACACUGGGACUGAGACACGGCCCAGACUCCUACGGGAGGCAGC
rnacentral:rRNA from 1 species